UAGAACUAUGUAAAGUCGUUUUGGUGAGUUUUCGUGCAAACACGCGAAACUCUUCCUAAAAUUAAUGAAAAAAAAUAGAGAACAGUUUUCAUUAAUCAAUGGCAUAUCUAUAAAUACGACUAACCCUAUUUCCCUUCCAAAUCGACGUUAAAGCUGCCUCUCACUCUUUUGUCUCUAUAGUUCGGCAUCUACGAUUCUCUCCGCCUCAACAAUCCUCGUCGAUAUUCUCUUCAAUCUUGGCUAUUUGAUUCGCCCUCUACUCCGAGACGAAUUCGAAGAGUGAUCACCCACAAAGUUCUGCUUUACCAAGACAAACAUGGAGACAACUAAUGACAAUAUGGAGGACACUUCAUUGUGGAGUCCUAUCAUGGAGAAGUUGUUUGUUGAUAUCAUGGUUGAACAAGCAAAUAAGGGGAAUAUGAAGGGUGGGGUCUUUCAUAACAAGAUCUGGAGCUCAAUUUUUGGUUGAGUUGCAUACCAAGUCUGGAAGAUCUUACCAGAUUAAACAAAUCAAGGUAAAGUUUCAUCAGUUGAGGAUUAAACACCGUGUAUUUUUUGAUCUUCUAAACCAUACUGAUUGGAUCAUUGUAACACAGCAAAUGUUUAGUCUAUUUAAUUAGAAUAAAACACCAUCGAUGUUAAUGUUUACAAAAAUGUUCUAGAUCCUAGUAAAAAGUAUCACAGUUAUCCUAGUAGUGGAUCUUGUCCCUUGAUUGAUGUAAGUGUAGGGGCCUACAAAACCUUAUGAUUGAACCAGAGUGACACAUCCACUACUGGUAUGCUUUUUACUGGGAUCCCUAUAACUUCUGUAAUGUUUAACUCUAUGAUAAUGUCGUCUUUUUUUUGAUUA